rnacentral:misc_RNA from 1 species
GAUGAAGAACGUAGUGAAAUGCGAUAAGUAAUGUGAAUUGCAGAAUUCAGUGAAUCAUCGAAUCUUUGAACGCACAUUGCGCCCGCCAGUAUUCUGGCGGGCAUGCCUGUUCGAGCAUCAUUUCAACCCUCAAGCCCCCGGGCUUGGUGUUGGGGAUCGGCGUGCCCUCGCGGCGCGCCGUCCCCUAAAUCUAGUGGCGGUCUCGCUGUAGCUUCCUCUGCGUAGUAGCAACACUCGCACUGGAUCGCAGCGCGGCCACGCCGUUAAACCCCCCACUUCUGAAAGUUUGACCUCGGAUCAGGUAGGAAUACCCGCUGAACUUAAGCAUAUCAAUAAGCGGAGGA